rnacentral:rRNA from 1 species
AGGACGAACGCUGGCGGCGUGCCUAACACAUGCAAGUCGAGCGAUGAAUCCUUCGGGAUGGAUUAGCGGCGGACGGGUGAGUAACACGUGGGUAACCUGCCUUGUAGAGGGGGAUAGCCUUCCGAAAGGAAGAUUAAUACCGCAUAACAUCUUUUUAUCGCAUGGUAGAAAGAUCAAAGGAGUAAUCCGCUACAAGAUGGACCCGCGGCGCAUUAGCUAGUUGGUGAGGUAACGGCUCACCAAGGCGACGAUGCGUAGCCGACCUGAGAGGGUGAUCGGCCACAUUGGAACUGAGACACGGUCCAGACUCCUACGGGAGGCAGCAGUGGGGAAUAUUGCGCAAUGGGGGAAACCCUGACGCAGCAACGCCGCGUGAAUGAAGAAGGCCUUAGGGUUGUAAAGUUCUGUUUACGGGGACGAUAAUGACGGUACCCGUGGAGGAAGCCACGGCUAACUACGUGCCAGCAGCAGC